GUUUGUUUUAUAGUCUAAAAUUUAGUGUAUGUUGGUAAAUGGCCCAUGUGAUCUUAAAAAGAAUGUGCAUUCUCUGCUGAUGGAUGAAGUGGUCCAUAAAUGUCGGUAGAUCCAAUUGAUGCUGGUGCUGCCCAGUGCAUCUAUUUCCUUCCUGAUUUAUUGUCUGUUGUGUCUGUUAAACAGAAAUAGAUUUAUGUUGAAGUGGGCAAGUAUAAUGGUGCAUUAAUCUAUUUCUUAUUACCCCUCUCUCUUUUUUUUGCCUCACAUGCUACUGCAGUUUUUGCCAAGUACACCUUAUGGAUUAUGAUGUUUUCCUGCAAGUUUGACCCCUUUAUCAUUAUGCAAUGCCCCAUUCUACCUCUGUGAAGCUGACUUGAACCAAGAUUAAUGUAACUACUCCAGCUCUCCUUUGGCCGGGGUCGAACUUGGGUCCUUGCACUUGCAGCAGGUGGCGAAACCACUGAGCUAAAUCUCCAGCCCCUAAGAAUAUUUACAAUUUACUUUUAGAAAUUUCAAAAUAUAUAAUACUUAUUGCUAACUAUAAUCAUGCUAUGUAAUAGAUCUCAUGAUCUUAUUAUUUCUAUCCAACUGAAACUUUGUACCUUUUAAUCAGCUUCUUUGCAGUGCCUUCCUCUGAUAACCUUCAUUCUAUUCUUAUGAGUUUGACAUUUUUAGAUCUUAUAUAUAAGACCAUACAUUAUUUGUCUUCCUGAGCUUGACUUAUUCCCUUAACAUAAUGUCCUCUAGAUUCAACCAUGUGUUCCCAAAUUACAUGAUUGUCUUUAAGGCUACAUAAUAUUCCCUGUGUAGUUACACUGUAAUUUCUUUUUUCAAAAAUCUAUCAUGAUUAUAUCCUUUAAUGGAUGUGCUAUACUGUUUACAUUAAAAUGAUUACUGAUAUAGUUGCUUUUUAAUAUUUUCUUUUUCUGAGUUCUUUUUUUGUCUUCUCCUGUUUCAUGAUUCAGCUUUCUAUUCUCUCAGUAUAUCAAUUAUAUAUCUUUAAACAAUUUUGAUGAUUGGCCUAGACAGUGAGAUACACUCAUAACCAAUAAGUCCUUUCUCAAAUAGCAUUAUAACACCUCACUGUUCCUACGUUGAUUUAUAACUGUAUUCCCAAUUCCUCCCUUUCAAUCUUUAUGAAAUGGCUUUCAUUCUUCUCACUUAUCUGUAGGCUAUAAUCACCUAAUAUUACUAUUAUUAUUUUGAACAAACAUAAAGAAAUGACAUGAGUAUGAUGCAUGUAAAACACUUCAAAAAUGUCUAAGAGAUUGAGAAGCUAAACAUCCAGCC
rnacentral:lncRNA from 1 species